UUUCCGUAGGUGAACCUGCGGAAGGAUCAUUACAGAGUUCAUGCCCUCACGGGUAGAUCUCCCACCCUUGAAUAUUUAUACCUUAGUUGCUUUGGCGGGCCGUGGAAACACCAUGGGCUCCGGCUUAUGCGUGCCUGCCAGAGGAAACAAACUCUGUUUUUAGUGAUGUCUGAGUACUAUAUAAUAGUUAAGACUUUCAACAACGGAUCUCUUGGUUCUGGCAUCGAUGAAGACGCAGC
rnacentral:misc_RNA from 1 species